rnacentral:rRNA from 1 species
GAACAUAAGAGUUUGAUCCUGGCUCAGAUUGAACGCUGGCGGCAUGCUUUACACAUGCAAGUCGGACGGCAGCACGAGUACUUGUACUUGGUGGCGAGUGGCGAACGGGUGAGUAAUAUAUUGGAACGUACCGAGUAAUGGGGGAUAACUAUCCGAAAGGAUAGCUAAUACCGCAUACGCUUUGAGAAGGAAAGCAGGGGAUCUUCGGACCUUGCGUUAUUCGAGCGGCCAAUAACUGAUUAGCUAGUUGGUGGGGUAAGGGCCUACCAAGGCGACGAUCAGUAGUGGGUCUGAGAGGAUGAUCCGCCACACUGGGACUGAGACACGGCCCAGACUCCUACGGGAGGCAGCAGUGGGGAAUUUUGGACAAUGGGCGAAAGCCUGAUCCAGCCAUGCCGCGUGUCUGAAGAAGGCCUUCGGGUUGUAAAGGACUUUUGUUAGGGAAGAAAAGGUUGAUGCUAAUAUCAUUAACUGAUGACGGUACCUAAAGAAUAAGCACCGGCUAACUACGUGCCAGCAGCCGCGGUAAUACGUCUGUCUCUUAUACACAUCU